UACGAAGGGGGCAAGCGUUGUUCGGAAUCACUAGGCGUAAAGCGCAGGUAGGCGGUUUGGUAAGUCUUUUGUGAAAGCUCCCGGCUCAACUGGGAGAGGCCAAAGGAAACUGCCAGGCUAGAGUGUGGCAGAGGAAGCUGGAAUUCCCGGUGUAGCGGUGAAAUGCGUAGAUAUCGGGAGGAAUACCUAUGGCGAAAGCAGGCUUCUGGGCCAUCACUGACGCUGAUCUGCGAAAGCUAGGGGAGCAAACAGG
rnacentral:rRNA from 1 species